rnacentral:rRNA from 1 species
UACAGGGGGUGCAAACGUUGCUCGGAAUUAUUGGGCGUAAAGCGCACGUAGGCGGUCUGUUAUGUCGGAUGUGAAAGCCCUUGGCUCAACUGAGGAAGUGCAUCCGAAACUGGCAGGCUAGAGUACGUAAGAGGGUCGCGGAAUUCCCGGUGUAGAGGUGAAAUUCGUAGAUAUCAGGAGGAACACCAAUAGCGAAGGCAGCUCGCUGGGACGUUACUGACACUGAGGCGCGAAAGCGUGGGGAGCGAACAGG